rnacentral:lncRNA from 10 species
CUCUACUAGCCCAGCGCUGCCUCAAGGAAUGGCAUUAUUCCUUUGCCACUGUGUCCUCACCGCACUCUUGGACUCCGCCGAAUGCAGACACCCUCCUGUCUGCAGAAGGAUCUGGAGGGGUAGAACGCUUCCCCUCUACGACGGAUUGACUCCCCAGCACCUCACCAGCAGUUCUUUGAAUGGAGUGGCUUUGGAGGUGGGAGUUGAGGAAGAAAUGUGAGCCUGUCAUUACAGGUUCUGUUUAGAAAACUAGUCAUUCUACUAAAAAGGUAUCACAUAAGUAAGUAGGAGCAAUAAAAACAAAGAAGAUAGUGGGACUCCGAGAAGCUUUCCCCGCCUCUGGCCUGUUAGUCUAUCGUUCGUUGGGCAAGGCUCUUCCAGUGUGUGACCUUUUGCGUGUUAUCACAGCAUGAGUGCAGUUUUGUGUACAGGCAUCCCUAUAUUCAGCAUGUAUCUGCAACAUGCCUUACCUCGUCUGCUGUCACAGAGCAAAGUGGAGCAAGUGGUCGCCGUUGGUCUGCACCUGAGCUGGGAGCCGAGUGGUGACGUGCAUAUGGGCCGACUGCGUCUCCACAGAACCUACUCAGUGAUCUUCCUGUGUACGACUCAGUCCCUGAUGUUGGAGUUGAACUGUAGGACUGUCUGUAAAAUGAAAGUGCAGACUUUAAUGUAGUAAAGAGAAUGACUUGCCAGUUACAACCAAUGAGCAAAGCAGUUAAUUAUUCAAAUAUUUUACCAAGAGUCCAGGUUUAUUUUUUCUCAGGACUACACAUUCUGUGAGACCAGAGGGACCAAGACAUAUCACUACCAGAAAUGUGUUUUCAUCAGCACUGCCAGAGGUUUUCAUAGGGUAGUUUACUCUUGGAAUUUUUAAAUUCAUACUUUUUUUUAUGCAACGUGGGGUAGGUAAGCUUCUGAUCACUGUGCACCCAGAUUAUCCCAAAGUGCUGGGAUUACAGGAGUGAGCCACCGCGCCUGGCCACAUCUCACUAUUCUUAAGGAAGAGAGAGAGCGAGAGAGAGUGUUGUCCUGUCCUGUGGGGAUUGGGGCAUUGUAUUAAGUUGUACUGGGGGAUGUCAAGAUAGAAAUGUUGAGUAAGUUACUACCUGAAUAAAUAUUUGACCAGUUGAUGCUAAUUUGAAUAGUAAAUGUGAUGACAUUAUAUAUUCUCAGGGAUGUUUCCAUACAUUGGCUCUGUGUGUGCGUGUGUGUGUGUGUGUGUGUGUAACAAAAGCAGUAUGAAGUAUGUGAGCAAUAUCCUAAUUUUAUUGACAAGAGCACUGACCUUAAUGACCUUGAGUAAAUUACCCUCUCCGGCUUUGGUUUCCUCAUUUGUCAAUUAAGGGUGAUGGCUAGCGUAUCUUGCAGAUCCAAAUUCCAAUUUUUGUAACAAGCCAAAAGUCCCCCUGGCUGUUAAAGCAAGACCAGAGCCCUCGUAUCCCAGCGGCUGGGUCCCAGGCUUUUGAUUUUCACAGGACAAAUGUAGCCCAGCCAUCUGGAGCCCGUUUUUCUCCAAACCAGGGCUUCCUCCUUCUCUCUUGCAGAUUUCAACUGGGGCUCACCAUUUUCUGCCUCUUCCUCCUCCAGUUUUAAAGAGACACCAUAUCCUUCUCUGCUGGGACCAACUUCCCAUGUACUGCUGCCCUGCACCUGUGAAAACAGCUGCUGUGUUUUCUGUCAUAAAAAUAGCUGCCUUUUGGCAGAGAAGCACACAACGGUACUACGUUUCUGAGCCUUAAUGCAGUGCUCAAUUAUUUAGGUGUGCUUCACCUGAGAUACACAGAGCAUCUUGGAACUCCUACUAAGCAGGGCUUCUACAGGCAUUGCUCAGCUCAGUAAAAGGUUUUCCUUUCUCUGCUUUUGUGAUUACCAGGCAGAAACCUUAAAAUGUAUGAACUUACAAAGAAAUUAAAUUGUGCCAAAUUAGAUUCCCAGCCCCUAGAGAUAACCACUAAUUAAAGUUCCGCUGGAGCGUUUUGCCUGUAUUUUGUAUAUAAACGUGGAUUUUGUAUUUGUAUGUAAAUAAAGGUAGGACCCUGCUGUCCAUAUUAUUUUAAAA